GUAAAUAUAGUUUAAACAAAACAUUAGAUUGUGAAUCUAAUAAUAGAAGAUCAUGUCCUCUUAUUUACC
rnacentral:tRNA from 1 species